rnacentral:rRNA from 1 species
CUCUGUGACUCCUACGGGAGGCAGCAGUGGGGAAUAUGCACAAUGGGGGAAACCCUGAUGCAGCCAUGCCGCGUGUGUGAAGAAGGCCUUCGGGUUGUAAAGCACUUUCAGUAGGGAGGAAGGUAGUGUAGUUAACACCUGCACUAUUUGACGUUACCUACAGAAGAAGCACCGGCUAACUCCGUGCCAGCAGCCGCGGUAAUACGGAGGGUGCGAGCGUUAAUCGGAAUUACUGGGCGUAAAGCGCAUGCAGGCGGCCUGUUAAGUCAGAUGUGAAAGCCCGGGGCUUAACCUCGGAAUUGCAUUUGAAACUGGCAGGCUAGAGUCUUGUAGAGGGGGUAGAAUUUCAGGUGUAGCGGUGAAAUGCGUAGAGAUCUGAAGGAAUACCAGUGGCGAAGGCGGCCCCCUGGACAAAGACUGACGCUCAGAUGCGAAAGCGUGGGGAGCAAACAGGAUUAGAUACCCUGGUG